GGUAACAGCUCAAAUUUGAAAUCUGGCUCCUCUGGAGUCCGAGUUGUAAUUUGUAGAAGAUGCUUUGGGUUGUGGGUUCGGCCUAAGUUCCUUGGAACAGGACGUCAUAGAGGGUGAGAAUCCCGUAUGUGGCCGAGGCCCGCGCCUAUGUAAAGCUCUUUCAACGAGUCGAGUUGUUUGGGAAUGCAGCUCAAAAUGGGUGGUAAAUUUCAUCUAAAGCUAAAUAUGGGCCAGAGACCGAUAGCGCACAAGUAGAGUGAUCGAAAGAUGAAAAGCACUUUGGAAAGAGAGUUAAACAGUACGUGAAAUUGUUGAAAGGGAAGCGCUUGCACCCAGACUUGGGCGCUGCUGAUCAUCUUGCGGUCUCCGCGAGUGCACUCGACAGCGCACAGGCCAGCAUCGGUUCGGGUGGCUGGAUAAAGGCCGUAGGAACGUAGCUCCCUUCGGGGAGUGUUAUAGCCUACGGUGCCAUGCAGCCCAGCCGGACCGAGGACCGCGCCUUCGGGCUAGGAUGCUGGCGUAAUGGGUGUAAGCGACCCGUCUUGAAACACGGACCAAGGAGUCUAACAUCUAUGCGAGUGUUUGGGUGGUAAACCCAUACGCGGAAUGAAAGUGAACGUAGGUGAGAACCCC
rnacentral:rRNA from 1 species